GACGAACGCUGGCGGCGUGCUUAACACAUGCAAGUCGAACGGAAAGGCCCCUUUGGGGGUACCCGAGGGGCGAACGGGGGGGGAACACGUGCGUAACCUGCGCAUGACUUCGGGAUAAGUUCAGUAAACUGGGGCGAAUACCGAAUAGGAAUCAUUUCUCCAUGGAGGGGGAGGGAGAGCUUCGGCGGUUUUGGAGGGACGCGCGGGCUAUCAGCGUGUUGGUGGGGUAGUGGGUUACAGAGGUUGUGGCGGGAAGCCGGACUGGGGGGGCGACCGGCCUCAGUGACACUGAGAUACGGCCCCGACCCCUACUGGUGGACGAAGUGGGGAAGAUUGAUCAAGGGGCGGCGGCCUGAUGCAGCAACGCCGCGUGCGGGAGGACGGUCUUCGGGUUGGAAACCGAUUUCAGCUGGAGCCAAGCUUGUGGUGACGGUACCUGCAGAAGAAGCACCGGCUAACUACGUG
rnacentral:rRNA from 1 species